GGGCGGUUAACUCAGUGGUUAGAGUGCCAUCCUCACACGGUGGAAGUCGCUGGUUCAAAUCCAGCACCGCCCACCA
rnacentral:tRNA from 2 species